UGCUCAAUCCCACAGGUUUCAACGUAAAAAACAUUACAGCUGGAGGAUAUCACACGAAAGAAACAAUUAAUAUGAUGAAACUUGAUGCUGAUGGGAUUUUCAGAUUAUAUUCACAAAAUCUGACACGGAAUGGAAACUGGUCAGCUGUGUGGUCAUCCACACGCGACAAGUGUGACCCGAAAGGAUCAUGCGGUCUUAAUGGAUAUUGUGUUCUGAAGGAUGAGGAAGCUGAAUGUACUUGUCUUCCUGGAUUUGAGUUUGUUGCCCAGGGAAAUUGGACUUCUGGCUGUGAGAGGGAUUUCAGUGCUGAAAGUUGCAAAGACAAGAAUGGAAGUAGCACAUACAACAUGGAAGAGCUGUCUAAUACUGAGUGGGAAGAUGUUUCAUACUCCGUUUUGUCAUCAACAACUAAAGACAAUUGUAAGCAAGCCUGUUUGGAAGACUGUAACUGUGAAGCAGCAUUAUUCACGGAUGGGCAGUACUGCAGAAAGCAAAGGCUUCCUUUGAGAUUUGGGAGGACAAACUUAGAAAGUUCGAACUUGGCUUUCGUCAAGGUGGGUAGACCCAUAUCCACCAUGGACAAUAAAGAGCCUAUAACGGAGAAGAAGAACCUUGGCACUGGCAGGACAAUCCUAAUAAUAAGUGGUUCAUUUGUUGCUUUUGGUCUUGCUAUGGUGGCGAUUUUCGGAAUCAUCGUUUACAGAUAUCAUGUAUUGGCAUAUAAAAGGGUGCCAACUAAUGAUGGUACUGCAUUGAAUGAGGUAUUUGCUCCUCGAGCUUUCACUUAUGCAGACCUAGAAAAGAUUACUGGUGGUUUCAAGGAAGAAAUUGGCAGGGGAUCAUUUGGGACAGUUUAUAAAGGGAUCAUAUCAAGUACUCAGAAGGUUGUUGCUGUCAAGAGACUGGAGAAAGUUCUAGCUGAAGGGGAAAGAGAAUUUCAGAAUGAGAUGAAAGUCAUUGGGAAAACACAUCACAGAAACCUAGUCCGUCUGCUCGGCUAUUGCCAUGAUGAACAUCACAGGCUCCUGGUAUACGAGUACAUGAGCAAUGGCUCCCUCGCUGACAUACUCUUCUCACUUGAAAAACGACCUUGCUUCCCUGAAAGGUUGGAAAUUGCUCGCAACAUUGCAAGGGGUAUUGUUUAUCUACAUGAAGAGUGCGACACUCAGAUCAUCCACUGUGAUAUAAAACCUCAGAAUAUACUAAUAGAUGAAAGCAGGUGCCCCAAAGUUUCUGACUUUGGAUUGGCAAAGUUUCUGAAGUCAGACCAAACUAAAACCUUCACCGGAAUUAGAGGGACGAGGGGAUAUGUAGCACCAGAAUGGCACCGGAAUAUGCCGGUGACAGUUAAAGCAGAUGUUUAUAGCUUUGGAGUUAUGUUGUUGGAGAUCACGUGUUGUCGAAAGAAUGUGGAUUGGAGUCUUCCAGAGGAUGAAGCUGUUCUCGAACAGUGGGUUUACCAAAGUUUUCUGGACGGUGAUAUGGACAAACUUGUGGGUGAUGAAAUCGUCGAAAAGAAACAGUUAGAUAGGAUGGUUAAAGUGGGACUUUGGUGCACUCUUGAUGAGCCAUCCCUCCGCCCUUCAAUGAAAAAGGUCCUCCUGAUGUUGGAGGGGACCGUCGAAAUCCCAAUCCCUCCAAGUCCUACUUCUUUUUUUACUGCUAUAUGAGCUGCGUUUUAUGGUUAGAAUAAGAGAUUUUUCAGGUCAUUUAUUCCUUUUCUUUAUAAAAUUGCUAUAUGUUUCCGCAGCAUUUAGGAGCUUCCUGUUGGUUUUUCUUCUAGUGUUAAUGCCUGUAAAGUUGUUUCCCAUCGUAUCUUAGAUAUUUUCUUUAAAAAAAAAAGGUAUAUAAAGAGGAGAAAAGAAAACGUUAGCAUGAAAGCUUCACGUGUUCCUAGUAUAAACAACAUUUGUUGGUCUUAUGUUAUCUCAAGAGUGAGCUCUUUACGAAGAAUAGAAUUAAUGAGACUAGGAUCUUUGCUUGUUUGUUCCCCUUCUUCUUCUUCUUCUAUUCUACAAGGCAAUUCCUUGCCUAAAAUGCCAAUGUCCAAUUCCAACGCUCAAGCUUAGUUGCAGGGCAUUAUCGGUGAAUCGAAGUCCAAUACAACGGUUGGUGACAGUACAUUGUUGCAAGUCGCCGUCAAAAUGACUAAUUGCCAGAAGUGAGAAGACCAGAAUGAGCUAAUUAGUUUGUAAUUACAUGGAGCAUAUCAAGCAGAAUUAUGUUAAAAGGAAGCGUUUAUAGAGAAGAUAAGAAGCAGAUUAAUGAGAUAACUUCACACACUUUUUCAUUUACAUUGUGCAUGUAUAAAUACAAGAUUGAAGAGCUUAUUAAUCCUGAAGUUUUGCUAUCCUGUAACUAACUGCAAGCUAUCCAUGAUUCAAACAUUCAAAUUAAAUGUAAGGAUUUGAUUCCGGUGGAUGAGGAUUUUGUGGAGGAACUGAUGCUGUUGGAUGAGUGAUUUGUGGGAAAGUGAUGACUUUCCUUAUAUGCCCCCGCAAGAUGAAGGUACCAUCAGUAACUCCAAUCUUGGAUCUUAAAACUUGAAAACGAUGGCGUGGAAGAGGCUUCGUAAGCAAGUCUGCAAGCUGAUCUAAAGUGUGAACAUGACUGAUGGUAAUACAACCUUUCUAGACAAGAUCACAAACAAAGAGAAGGUCAAUUUCGAUGUGUUUCAUACGAGUGUGUUGCAAUGGAUUUAGGCUGAAAUGAGAUGCACCAAUGUUAUCAUGAAAAACCUAGGGAGGAUUUUUAGGAUGUAAGCCAAGUUCAUUGAUUAAGGAGUGAAGCCAAAUUGUUUCAGAGGUGGCAGCAGCUAAUGCAUGAAAUUUCGCUUUUGUAGAAGAACACGAUACAUCUCUUUGUUUGGGUGCAGACCAAGAAAUGGGAUUGGAGCCUAGAAUGGUGAUAAAUGCAAUGGUGGAGACCCUUGUAUCAGUGUUGGCAGCCCAGUCCGCAUCAACAAAGGUUUGUAGAUUUAAGGGGCUACUCUGUUGAAUAAGAAUCCUAUGAAACAUUGUUUGCUUGAGAUACCUAAGAAUUUGUUUGGCUACAGUCUAGUGACACGUUGUUGGUUUGUGCAUGAACUGGGAAAGUCAAUUUACUGCAAAUGCAAUGUCAAGUCUAGUCAAACCAAGAUAUUGCAGUGCCUCAAUAACUCUUUGAUAUUCUAUGCUAUUUGCAGGAGCUGAACCAUCCGAUAAAAUCAAUGGUGUGCUAGUGGACAUUGGAGUGUGAAUGUCUUUGGCCAUAUCCAUGGAAGUUUUAGAGAGUAAAUCUUAAAUGUAUUUGUGUUAUGAAAGGAAAAGGCCCUUGGCUAUAGGAAUGACUUCAAUGCCAAGAAAAAAAAUAGAGAUGUCCUGUGUCUUUGACAAAGAAGGUGUGACUAAGUUUAUUGAUGAUAACAACUACAAAUAUGGAGAAGUUUCCUAUGAUAAUGAUGUCAUCAACAUACACAAGACAAUAGCAGAGAACACUGUUAGAGACAUAGAUGAAUAAAGACGUGUCCAUAACUGAAUGAACAAAGCUAAAUUGCAGAAGAGCAUCCCGAAGAGCUUUGUACCACUAGCGAGGUGCCUGUUUCAGGCCAUAAAUACUUUUCUUUAGUUUACAAAGAUAUUCAAGCUUGGAAGUAUCUCUGAAGCCGGGAGGUUGAUGCAUAAACAUUAUUUCUUCAAGAUUGUCAUAAAGAAAAGCAUUAUUUAUGUCAAGCUGCCUAAGAGACCAACCAUUCAUGACAACAAUGGAGAUGAUUAAGCGAAUUGUAGUUGUUUUAACAACUGGACUGAAUGUUUGGGAAUAAUCAAGACCUGGCCUUUGGUGGAAGCCUUUGACAACUGGACGAGCUUUGUAUCUACUGAUGGUUCCAUCAGGAUUUUGUUUUGUUUGAAAAACAAAAUUGCAGCCUAUAAGAUUUUGACUUGCUGCAGGAGGGACAAGUUCCCAAGUGACAUGAUUGAGUAAUGCAAUGAUUUCUUCGGACAUGGCAUUGCGCCAAAGUAGAUUUUUAAGUGCUUGACUAACACAUGUUGGCUCAGGGGAUUCAGAUAAUAGAUGUGUUGUGGUGGUGUGAAGCUGUUUUGGAACAAAGAUGUUGUUCAUAGACCGAGUGGUCAAAUUAUUUCGUCUUUGAGAAACAACAAGAGCUAGAAGAUUUACCUGAACUGUGGAGACUGUGGUUGUAAUGUCCAAAUUGGAUGCAGGGAGAGAGAGCUCUUCUUGAUGGACAAUAGAGACUGGUGCAAAGAGAACUUGGUUUGCUGGGUGACAAUCUGCAAUAGUGGUGCAGAUAGAGUAGGAGCGACAGGUAAGGAAGACUCAGAAGUGGACUGGUUGAUGAUGUUCUUUAGAGGAAAGGUGUUUUCAUCAAAUGUAACAUGUCGUGAGAUAUAUAAGCGUUGAGUAGGUAAGUGGAAACAAAGAUAGGCAUUCUGUGUAGUGGAAUAACCAAGAAACACACAGGGAAUAGACUUGGGCUGGAGUUUAUGUGUGUGGUAAGGUUUCAGCCAGGGACAACACAAGCAACCAAAUGUUCUGAGUUUGAGAUAAUUGGGAGAUGCUGUGAACAAGGUUUGAAAGAGAGAUUUUUGAUGAAGAAUAGGAGAGGGCAAUCAAUUGAUUAGAUAGGUUGUUACGGCAAAAGCAUAUGACCAGAAAUAGGAGGGAAGGUUAGCGUGACUGAGAAGUGUGGUGCCUGUUUCUACUAUGUGUCUCUGACGUCGCUCUGAAAAGCCAUUUUACUGAGGAGUGCAUGGGGCUGUGGUGUAAUGACUUAUGCCGUGGAGAGUAAGAAAUGGUUUUAGAGCAACAAAUUCUCCACCAUUAUCAGAGUAGAGACUUUUGAUAUUAGCAUUAAACCAAUUUUGUAUCAUUUUAUGAAAUUAAGGAAAAAUGAUUUUAACAUCAGAUUUGUUAUGAAGUGGAAAAAACCAGACAUAUUUUGUGAAGUGAUCAAUGAAGAUCACAUAAUAUUAUGACCUUGAAUGUUGAUUUGUGGUGAUGGUCCCCAAACAUCGGUAUAUAUUAAAUCAAAAAGAGUAGAGCUAGUGAGACCAUGUUUAUGAAAAGGCAGGUGAUGAGAUUUAUUGAUAAAACAGGAAUCAUAAAAAUGAGAUAUAGAGGAAUUGCUAGAAACUGGAAAAGAGAAUAAGGAGAUCAUUUUGUCUACAACUUUUGAGCAAGGGUGGCCUAGGCGCUAAUGCCAGCCAUUUAUAGACGUGCGUUCAUGAACCAUUGCAAUGGGAGUGGAGGCAUGAGGAUGAGGUAGAGGAUAAACAUCAUUCUCACACGGUCCUUGAAGAAGAAUCUCUCUCGUCUGUUGAUCCUUGACAAAAAAACAAGAAGGAUGGAAUUCAAGAAACACAUUGUUGUUUUUGGUAAAAUGAUGGAUUGAAAUCAAAUUUUGAUUUAUGGUGGGAACACAAAGAGUGUCUUGAACUUGGAAUGUGCGUUUAGGAAAGGGAAGAGUAAGAGAACUUGAGUGAGUGAUUUUCAAACCUGAACCAUCUCCAAUGAGCACUUCAUCUGUGCCAUCAUAUUCAAAGUGUAAGUGCAUAUUGGAUACUUGAGAGGUGAUGUUAUGCGAUGCAGCAAAGUCAAUGAGCCAACACUGAUCUGGACUCUGAGAAGCAGUGGUGCCGUUGGCUGUAGCCUUCUUGGUGUGUAACUUAGGAUAGUGUUUUGCAACAUGGCCAAGUUGAUCACAGUAUUGGCAUUUGGGAGUAUAUUUGUGUUGCCUGAAAUAGCGAGGUUGGGAUUUGGAAUCAUAUUUCUGUGUGGUUGCAUGAAGAGAAGACUAUGGUUGUUUUUGUGAAAAACUAUGAUUCUUGCGCUAAGUAUUAUGUGUUGUAACGACUAGGGGAGGAGAAGUAUUGUCCAGGCGUUUAAGGUAAGACUCAUGACCAAUGAGAAGAUCAUGAAGUUCUUUAAAUGAUAAGGCAGAUUCGCGUGUACAAAUAUGGGCUACCAUUUCUCUAUAUUCAGGCCCUAAGCCAUUGAGAGCAUAGAGAGUAAUAUCAUCAGCAGAGAGAGGAGCAUCAAUGAGUGCAAGCUCAUCGACAAUAGACUUGAUAGAAUAAAGAAAUUUUGUGACAGUGCGUGUUCCAUGAUGAAUGAGAAUGAGAUCCUCUUUGAGUUGCAUGACUUGUGUUCUAGAACGACUGGCAUAAAGCUUGGUCAGUUUGUUCCAAGCUUAAGAGGAUGUUUUGGAAGCUACUAUGAAAGAUAUCACAGAAUCAGACACCUAGUAUUAUGGUCACUAGGAACCCUAACUGGUCAGCAGAGAUUCUAUGGUUCGGGACUGAUUACGUAAAAGGGAAGAUAUUAUCACCCCUUAAACGUCCUGCCUGAGGCAGGCUGCAUUGCUAGUUUUGUCUUAAAUUACUAAAUGUUUAUUAAUUUAUGCUAUGUUAAUUUGCUUAUAAUAUUCCUGACUCUAGCGUCAGUGAAUAUUCAACUACGAAUAUUUCCAACUCUGGCGUUGGUAAAUAUUACGUAGCUAGAAAAUAAAUUAAAUCAAUAUAUUUUUUUAUUCCUGACUCUGGCGCCAGUGAAUAAAUAAAUAACAAUGAAUUUAUUUUUAUGCAUGCACAUAUAUUUUUUAUUUUUCUAGCUAAAUAAAAUGCAACGAAUAAAAAUAAUAUAAAUUUAAACCGGUGUUUUUAUUCCUGACUCUGGUGUCAGUGAAUAAACUAAUAAAUUUACAUUAUUUUUAUUCAUGCAUAUAUAUUUUUUAUUAUUUUUAUUAUUUUUAUUUUUUUAUUUUUUUUGGGCUGGGCUGGGCUAGACCCAGCCCAGCAUACAUAUCUUUGGCUGGGCUCAGCUCAGCCCCACAGGGCUGGGCUAGGCCCAGCCAGGUCACUGGCCCGAGCCAGUGACCGGCUGAGCAAACUGAUGAUGCACGCGUGAAGCACUUUCACGCGUGCAUCAACAGUGCGAAGGUAAUUAAAUUACCUUCGCACUGUUCAAAUGCAAUUCAAUCACUGGAGCGAAAACAAAUGGAAAUGGGCGCACCUGUUUCAGACGACUGUGAAGAAGGCUACAGCGCUGGUGGAGUUCGACUGCUUGCUGUUUCAAAUGAUGCUGAGGAAGGUUGCAACGCCGGUGUGGGUUCUACUGUUUUAUGUCAAAUGCCAAUGGUUCGGUGAUCGAUUGGGAUCCUGCAGAGAUGAAAACAGAGUUAAUCCGUGAUCCUCUGCCUUUUCUCUCCUUUUCUGGCGAUAUAUUUUUCGGAUGAAAAUUGGUUUCUUGCAGGGACGGAAUCGGGGUUGAUGUUGCUGUUCUUCCCUGUGUUUUCUUUUUUUGAUUGUGUUCUGUUUUCUCUAUUUUUUUCUGGGUUUCUUGCUUUGUUUUUCUGGGUUGAUCCUCUGAUUUUCGACCUCCUCUCUGUCCCCUGCGUUCGAGAAGAUGGAGAUGUUAACGUUGGCCCUCUGGUUUUUUGAUGGCGUUUCUCUCUGUUUUUUGCUCUGCUUCUAGGUUCUGUUUUUGGCGUGAUUCUUCCGUUCUUGACUUUGUGGUUUUUUUUCGGAUUCUUUUUCUCCUUCGACUAGGUUUUUUGCUUCCUUUUAUAGACUCCCCAGCCCCUCUCUUUUAACUAGUCCUGUCUUUGCAGAACUCUUCUCUUCCCCGACGAGAUCGUGGGCGAUAGACAUGGUCCACGAUUGGAUCAACUUCGUUGCAGAUCUUCAGCCUAUUGAAUCGGGAUGCAGAAGACGAACACGGCUGUUUCACCAGCAACGGCGACGUUUCGGCAGCAAUGGAUUCCACCAGUAACGGCGACGUUUCAAGCAGCCAUGGACAUUUUCAAUUUGACCCCUAGACUUUGGAAAUUCAGCAAUUAGACCCCUAAACAAUUAAAAGUUUCUUUUAAUCUUGCCCUUUUGGAUUAAUUUCAAUUAAGUCUCUAAAUUAUAACACUAUUUACAAAACAGUCCUUAAUUUGUGGAUUGUCCAAUUUGACCCUUAAUUAAAUUUUUAACUUUUAAUUCUUUCAAAAUUGAUCAAUUAACUCUCAAAUUACAUCUCCAAACUUCAAAAUUUAUUGUCUUAACCCCAUUAUCAAUUAUAUUUAAUUUUUAUUAUUUGUUCAAAAAUUUGGUUAUGACAAAGCCUGAAGCUUUGCUUUUCUGUAACUAACUACAAGUUGUCCAUGAUUCAAACAUUCAAAUUAAACGUAAGGAUUUGAUUCCGGUGAAUGAGAAUUUUGUGGAGGAAUUGAUGUUGUGGGAGAGUGAUGACUUUCCUUAUAUCCUUUACAAUCAAAUUGCAAACAAACGGAGAAUAUAUCAUUUAUCAUAGUUAAGGUGCAUUUAUUUGAAAAAUAUCUUUCAUAUUUGAAAUAUAUAUAUAUAGUAAUAAAUUAUCAAUAGAAAAUAUUUUUUCCAUCACAAAACUAUCAACUCAUGGUUACAUGUUCCUAAUAAUAUUUUUCAAUCUCUUUAAUCAUCAUUACCAUUAUUACAUCACCAUCAUCUUCAUCACAGCUUCUUCACUUUCAUUAUCAUUACUUGCUAACAUAAACAUUAUUAAAACUAUAUGAAUUUAUUAUUAUUCUCAUCAACAUGAUCACAAGUGUAACAUCAUUAAUAUCAUAGCUACAAGGAAAUUUUUUUUUUUUUUUUUUUAAUAUCGUGAUGUUUUAAAUUAAAAGAGAUUAGGGACAACAAAGCCCUUAGAGGCUUAUAAAUGGGUAUAAAUGAAUAAGAGGUAUUGUGGUAAUUCAACAAGCUUGAUAAAUAUAAAUAGAAAAAAAAAGAGGGAUUUGAAAAUUUAAGAGAUAACCAGCAGGAGAGAAAAGGGAAAGAAGAAGGAGAAGAGAAAAGAGGGAAAUUACAAGGGAAAUAGAAAGGAGUUGAAAAUCUAAAAUUUAUGCUUUAAUGUGUUUAAUAUGUUUUAUUUAGCUUUAAAUUUCUAUUUUGAUGAAUGAUUAGGGUUUUGAAGAUUUUAUUUUGCGUUGAUUGAUGAAUUAAUUUUAAUGUUAUGGGUUGAUUAUUGUGGGUAAUGAGUUAAUUAGUUAGUUUUAAGAGAUUGUAGGUAAAGAUAAUUUUGAGUUAUGACUUCUGUAAAUGGUGAAUUUUGAGUUAGAAAUCUGGAAAGGACAGUAGGUUUUCUGUUUAAAUUCUGGGUUUGAGGUUGAAGAUGACAAAAUUUCGGUUUGGUCCCUCAAUUUGUGAAAAUUACAGUUUAGUCCCUAAAUUUUGGAAAAAUUACAAAUUGGUCCCUGGAGCAUAUUCCGAGAUUCCAGACAGAAUAAAAGAUGAAUUAUGGGCAGAAUUCCAGUAUAGUUAUGAAAUUUUAACACAUUUAAUUUGGUCCUCCCAUUUUAGAAAAAUUACAAUUUGACCCUAAAAAUUUGGAAAAAUUCCAGAAUGGUCCCUGGGGAAUAAUUAGAGAUUCCGGACAGAAAUGAGGAUGAAUUAUGGGCAUAAGCCCACUAUAGUCAUGAAUUUAUGAUAUUUUUAGUUUGGCCCUCCAAUUAGACGAAAAUUACAAUUUGGCCCUAAAAAUAUGAUAAAUUCCAGAUUGGUCCCUAGCUAUAAUAUUAGCUUUUUCAGAUUGGUUUGAUGGAUAAAUAAGGUUUAUUUAGUGAAUUAUUAUCAAGUCUUGUUAUUUGUUUUAUUAUGGAUUAGAUUUCGAAAAAACCGUUAAUUUUUGAGUUUUUAGGAAACAUAACUAGUUUAGUCUAAAAACAUAUAGGGUUAUGAAAUAUACCCUUAGAUAAGUGUAUUAAAUAGGUUAUAUGCUCUUUUGAGUUAUUUUUUAAUAUAUCUCAUUUGUAUUCAGAUAAUCAUGAUAUUCGACCGGCGGAACAUUAGUAGGAUUUCCUUCGGUAUCUGCUUUUGAGUUAUGUUUGCUUUCGAGUCAGGUGAGUGGAUAAUUUUCCAUAUGCAUGAGUAAUAUUAUAAAUAUUUGAGUUGUUAAUAUAAAUUGGAUCAUGUUUCUUGAUAAUAUAUAUGUUGAUUAUUAUUCUUGUUACGAUAAAGCAUGAUCAAUAGUUGAAUCUAAAUUCUUAAUAUGAACCAACAUAUAUUUUGAAUUGACUUCUGAAUUGAUAGCUCCUCAUUUGAUUGAUGUCAUGAGUUGAGUCUUGAGAUAUGAAUAUGUCUAUUUGAUUAUGAUUAUAAACCUAUGGUAUACCAGUCAAAAUACCCAUGCUAAUAGGGUAUUGUUAGUCUUUCUGAAUAUCGUAUCUGAACCCUAAUUGGUGAUGUAGAACAGUCUACAGGAGGGGAGGAAGAGCAAAUUGCAGGAUAUAAUAUCAUUGCAGAGAAAUCAGGAACUACAGUUACCAUUGGAGUAUCCUUCCACCAGAUUGCCUCUUUAUUUAGGAGUCCUAAUUAAUGUCGUAAUAUCAGGAUUUAUUUACUUUUCUAGCUAUAGUAUUUGCUUUCUUUAUUCUAGUUAUUUCUUUCCUAAACAAUUAUAUUCCUAGUCGAAUUAGGAUUUGCAGCCUAUAUAAAGGCUGCCUCUUUUAAUUGUAAGGCACUUUUGAAUUCAAUAAAGUACUUUCUCUUAGAGAAUUUUAAUUUCUGAACUCGUGGAUUUGAGUGUAAUUUUGGUUUAAGGAUUCGAAUGAUUUUUCCCGGAAAUAGACGGUGUCCUAUUUCCACAGAAGCUUUCGCUACGUCAGUUGGUAUCAGAGCAGGCCUAAUCCUGUUAGAUGGAAAACCCACACAACGAAAGCGAAACCCUUGGCGGUGGUGAUUGCGAGGACAGUUUGGUUAUAGGGGUUGAAUUCAGAAUUUUCCAGCAUGAGACACAACAAACCUUACGUGAUAUCCAAGCAGCCCUUGCUAGGUUGACAGCAGGAAAUAAUCAAGGGAUCAACAAUCGCCCAAGUCAUCAACAUCACAGAGAAAGGGCUGAAAGUUGUGAACGCCCUCCAAGAAUCCUACGAAGGCAACCAGUCUAUGAGGACAGCUUAAGUGAGGAUGAAGAAGAAGCUGAAGCUAUACUCUAGGGAAACCGGAGAGGAUACCAAAGGGAACCAGACCGACAGAUGUUUCGAAUGAAGAUGGACCUGCCUAAUUUUAAUAGACAACUUCAGAUUGAAGGGUUCCUUGAUUGGUUUGUAUUAGUCGAGAGGUUCUUUGAUUAUAUGGACAUUCCUGAAGAUAAAAAGGUGAAGUUAGUCACAUAUAGACUAUUAGGGGGAGCUUCUGCCUGGUGGGAGUAACUACAAAGUACCCAGCUGUGAUAAGGGAAGGGGAUGGUUCAAACAUGGACUAAAAUGAAACGACUAUUACGUUCCCGUUAUCUACCACCAGAUUACGAGCUAAUUUUUUUAAAACAGUAUUAGGAAUGUAGACAAGAAGCCAGAACCGUUGAAGCUUUCCUGAAAGAAUUCCACAUGCUAUCAUCACGAAAUAAUCUGCUGGAAACAGAGGCACAACAAGUUGCCAGGUUUGUUGGAGGUCUGCAUUGGGCUAUACAAGAUCGUGUGGCAAUACAAACAGUUUACACCCUAACAGAAACCGUUGCAAUGGUUAUUAAGGCAGAGACCCAAUUAGAUAGAUCAAAGGCAAUGGUUGGGACCAGGAAUCCAUUUGAUAAUAAUAGAGCAACAGUCAACAAAGGAAAGACCCCGAUGACCCUGACGACCUCAAUAACCCAACCCUCCUUCUCUAACACUAUACAGGGAACAAGCAGCAGUGGAGCACCAACAAAGCCUACCAACACCAUUCCAUCUGAGGUGACGCCCAGAAAUCCUUAUGCUCGUCCAGGAUCGAAUAAUGUUAUAGAUGUGGACAGCUAGGACACCGUUCCAACCAGUGUCCAAGAAGGAGUACCGUGAACUUAAUAGAGCCAGAAAAAGAGUGCCUUUUCGACACAGAGAAAGAUUAUAACGAAACAGCCUAUACAUAUUGUCGCACCCCAAAAAAAAAUCCAAUUUUUCAAUUGCGGGUUCGACUGGCGAUUUUUUUUUGUUAUUUUGGUUUGGUUCUUUGGAGUCGCCACCUAGUAUUUUGGUCACUAGGAACCCUAACUGGUCUCAGAAAUCGGGUACGGAGACUGGUUGCGUAAAGGGAAGGUAUUAGCACCCCAAAUACGUCCUACCUAAGGUAAGCUGCAUUGUUUUAUUGUCUGAUAAAAACUAAGAUGUUAUUAUAUUUCUAGUCGUUGAUCUGUCUAUGGUUCAAGAAAAAUCCUCCUCGGUAAGAAGGUCUUUUAUCUUAUCGGGUAAAAUCCUAAUCGUUCUAACGUCUAUACCCCAAAACUUUAUUAAUAAUAUUUAGGAAUACGUUUUACGUAUAAAUUCGUAAUCCCAAAUACUAAAAGAAAACAAAAAGAUUUUUUUAAAAUUUUUGAAAUAUUGGCCUAGUUCUCAUGGCUUGAAUAAACUGGUUAUUAAAGCCAAAAUGCAUGUUAAUACAUAUAUUGUUUUGAAAAUUUUCUUUGUUGUGUGAAAAUAUGAUGUUAUAAUAUUUAUAUAUAUAUAUUGGAGAGACUAGGCCGUAUUUUAAAACAAAAACAAUUUUAAAAAAAAUAUUAUUAUUUUUUUAUGCUUUGACGAAAAUCGGGUAUUUUAAAUACUGAGCUUGUAUCCUUACGGUAUAAAAAUACAACCCAAUAUUAAUCCACUUUGAUAAAAAUAUGCAGAAAAAUCAACAUUUUUAGGGAAUUUUUAGAAUUUUUUUUGAAAGCAAAAACAUUUUUUAUUCUGAAAAUCUUUGAUAUUUUGACGAAAACCGGGUAUUUAUAACACUGGUUUUGUAUCUUUACGGUAUAAAAAUACAAACCAAAAUUAAACCACUUUGAUAAAAAUAUGCAGAAAAAUCAACAAUAUUUUUAGGGAUUUUUCAAAAUAUUUAUUUAUUAUUAUAUUUUAUAUAUAUAUACAUAUAUACACACAUAUAUUAUAACAUAUUAUAAUAUAUAUAUAUAUAAUAUAUAAUAUAAAAAUAAUUCGGGCUGGGCCGGCCCAAAUAAACGGGCCGGACUCAGCCCAACAAGGAAAGGUUGGGCCGAACUCGGCCCAACCGAAAAUUCUUCUUCGGUCUGGGCCAGAACCGGCCCAGACGUGCAUGGGCUGGGCCAGCAUCGGGCUGGCCCAACGUUAGAAGCCCAGCGGGGGGGGGAAUUAAUUUUCUCCCCCCCCCCCGCCUCCUGCAUGCAGCAUGCAGGAGGCGAAGCUGCAACGGGCAAAAGAGAAAUGCAGAGGGAAAUGAAAUGUGUACCUGGCGUGGAGGAGGCGGUCGCUGGUGGAGGCUAGUGGCGGUGUCGUGGCUCACGGACGGCGGCUCCGGGCGAAGCUGUGGCUGUUCCCACUUGGCGGAGAGAGAGAGAUUUCGUUCUCUUCCCUUCUCCUCUGUUUUUUUCGUUCCUUCUUUCUCGGUUCGUUGAACCCGUGAUCACUCUCUUCUCUUCUCGGUUCUGUUUAAGAAAACAUCCUCCCCAGUUUUUUUGUUUUCCAGUCGUCUCUCUCUCUCUUCAGUUUCCUCUCUCUCUCCUCUUCGGGCUCCUUUUCGGUUUUCUUCUCUAUUUAUAGGGGCAGAACUAUGGGGGACCAUCGUUAGUGCGGUGCAACGGCUGGUCGGCUAAUGUUUAAAGGUGGUGGGGACGAAGAGAGAGAGGCGGGAAGAUUUGAAAAAAAAAGAAAAUGGUUUUCUUCUUCUGCUGCUCUGCUUCGGGGGGAAGGAGGAAGAUGAACAGUGUCGUUCAAAACGACACCGUUCUGGUCUUCCUCUUAUUUUUUUUUUUUAUAUAUAUAUAUGAAACGGCGUCGUUUUGGAUAAAACGCGCCGUUUCAUUUAAAUGGGCAAACUUCAAAUCAGUCCUCCAAAUUCGGUGCCCGCCCCCAUAGUUGGCCGCCUUUUUCACUUUGGUCCUUGGCCUCUGAUUUAUGCAAUUUAACCCUCAAUUGAUUAAUAAACUUUCAAUUUCUUCAAUUAGGCCCCUGAUCCAAAGAAAAACAGCCCCUCCAUUUACGCGCCUCUUCCAAUUUGGUCCCUGGUUUCGGAUUUUCUUAAUUAAAUCCCUAAUUAGCCCUUAAACUUCAAUAUUUAUGCAAUUAAGCCCCUGAUUUGACCCAAUAAAUUCCUAAAAAAUAUAUUUUUGCCCCAGAACUUAAAUUUCUUCAAAUUAAAGCCCAAAUUGACUUAAAAAUCAAUUUUUCUUGCAAUCAAAUCUUCUAUAAAUUCAAAUAAAAAUCCAAUUAAGUCCAUAAACAUCCAAAUUUGGACUUUUCUCCUCAAAAUUCAAAUUUUCCUUCUCAAUAGGGCUUUCAUCCUUCAAGAAUAUACUGUAAAAAAUUCAAUCCUUGUAUUUUUAAAUUCCUUGACCAAUUUUCUGACUGUUUCCUGAGCGCUUCUGCCUCCUGUUAUUUUUUCUAAACUCUUUUGGCUAUUUAUUUUAUUUUUUAUGGGGACCCAAAAAUGGGUUACAACACAUAUGAAGAAGAAGAAGAAGAAGUAAUAAGAGGCGUCGAGGGAGAACUAUUGUCGCGGUCGCUUGUAGUUCAGCGACUACUGUUGGCACCAAAACGAGAAGAACCCUCUUAGCAGCAUAAUAUAUUCAGAACCAGGUGCACCGUGAACAAUAGGGUCUGUGAUAUUAUCAUUGACACUGGCAGUAGCAAAAAUAUAGUAUCAAAAGCAAUGGUUACUAAGCUGGGAUUGCAAAUCAAGAAGCAUCUUGCACCAUAUAAAAUUGGCUGGAUCAAACGUGGCACUAAAGUAAAGGUAACUGAAGUCUGCCACAUUAAAUUCUCAAUUGGGAAAAAUUAUAUAGAUAAGGUUACAUAUGACGUGGUGGAAAUGGAUGCCUGCCAUGUAAUUUUGGGACGCUCCUGGUAGUAUGUUGUAGACGCCACUUAUAGAGGUCGUGACAAAGUUUAUGUCUUCAUGAAGGGGGUUAAAGGUCGUUCUAGGUCCUAUAAAAGAAGAGCUUGCCAGCAUUAAACCGAAGCCACAAGGAAAACCAAUAUUGCUAGUGGACAGGGGCAAAUUCAUGGAAGAGGCUAAGGAAGCCAAAGAGAUUUUUGCCGCAGUAGUAAGAGGAGAAGUUGGCAGGGAUCAUAUUGACAUUCCACCUACAGUGUUGCCAUUACUGGAGGAAUUUCAGAAGGUUAUACCGUCAGACCUACCUAAUGGGUUACCUCCUGUACGGGACAUACAACAUCAGAUCGAUUUCAUGCUAGGAGCUAGUUUUGCCUAAUCGCCCCCAUUACCGGAUGAAUCCCAAAGAAAGUCAGGUUCUACAACACAGGUAAAAGAAAUGAUUAAGAAAGGACUAGAACAUGAGAGCAUGAGCCCUGGUGCAGUGCCAACCUUGUUAGUGCCAAAGAAAUAUGGUAGUUAGUGCAUGUGCAUCGAUAGCCGGCCAAUCAACAAGAUCAUUGUUAAAUAUAAGUUCCCUAUCCCUUAAUUAGAAGAUAUGUUGGACAUGUUAUCCAGAUCCAAAGUCUUUUCAAAACUUGAUUUGCGAAGCAGGUACCAUCAAAUUCGGAUCAGACUAGGAGAUAAGUGGAAGACUACUUAAAAAAUAAUAAGGGCUUAUAUGAGUGGUUAGUAAUGCUAUUCGGACUAACCAAUGCACCCAGUACUUUCAUGCGGUUUAUAAACCAGGUAUUGAAACCUAUCACUAGAAAAUUUAUGGUGGUAUACUUCGAUGAUAUAUUAAUCUACAGCCAAACCCAAUCUGACCAUCUUGCGUACUUGAAGGAAGUACUUAAAAUUCUACAGCAAAAUAAGUUAUACGUUAAUUUGAAAAAGUACAGCUUUAUGACCAGUAGCUUGCUAUUCUUGGGGUUCGUAAUAAGUGCCGAUGGAAUUAAGGUAGAUGAAGAAAAGAUUUACGCCAUUCGAGAUUGGCCGACUCCGCGAACAGUAAGCGAGGUCCAUAGUUUUCAUGGACUAGCAACAUUUUACAGACUACUUGUUAGAGAUUUUAGUUGAAUAGUCACACCCAUUACUGAAUGCAUGAAGAAAGGGAAAUUCCAUUGAGGAGAAGCAGCAGAGCAGAGCUUUAAAUUGAUCAAAGAAAAACUAUCAUCGGCCCCAGUUUUGGCACUACCAGAUUUUGUCAAAUUAUUUCAAGUGUGAUGCCUCUAUCAUUGGUAUUGGUGUUGUGUUGUCUCAAAAAGGCAAACUUGUCGCAUUCUACAGUGAAAAACUCAGUGAAGCUCGCCAUAAGUGGUCUACCUACGAGCUAGAGUUGUAUGCCGUCUUUUGCACCUUGAAAGUCUGGGAACACUAGCUAGUACCCCGAGACUUCAUUUUAUUCAGCGACCAUCAGGCACUAAGAUUUAUCAACAACCAGAAUAGUGUCAACAGAAUGCAUGCCUGCUGGAUUUCAUUUAUUCAACGCUUCACAUUCACACUGCAACAUAAGGCUGGAUGACUAAACCGAACAGCUGAUGCUCUCAGCCGGAGGACAUUGCUGCUGGUCACUCUACAAACUAAAGUCAUUAGGUUUGAUUGCCUAAAAGAGUUAUAUGGUGGCGAUGAAGAUUUUCAAGAUAGUUGGAGAAAGUGUCAAACGAGGCUUCCUGUGGAGAACCUGCAUAUCCAGGAAGGCUACUUAUUUCGUGGUAACUAAUUAUGCAUACCCAGGAGCUCACUACGAGCUCAAAUAAUUCAUGACUUACACAGUGGAGGCUUGGGUGGACACUUGAAGCGUGACAAAACAAUAGCCCUUGCUGAGGAGAGGUAUUAUUGGCCCCAGUUAAAAAGAGACAUUGGCAACUAUGUUAAACGGUACCCCAUAUAUCAGGUUACUAAAGGACAGUCCUAAAAUACCAGUUUGUAUAUGCCCUUGCCUAUCCUAGCAGCACUUUAGGAGGAUCUUUCCAUGGAUUUUAUCUUAGGCCUACCGCGAACCCAACGCGGAUUUGAUUCAGUUUUCGUAGUGGUCGACAGGUAUUCUACAAUGGCUCAUUUUAUUGCUUGUAAGAAGACUGCAGAUGCAGUGUAUAUAGCAAAUUUAUUUUUCAAGGAGGUGGUGCGUCUACAUGGGGUUCCCAGGUCCAUCACGUCCGAUAGAGACACCAAAUUCUUGAGUCAUUUUUUGCGAUAGUUUGACACAUCCCUGAAUUUUAACAUCACCAGCCAUCCUCAGUUUGAUGGUCAAACAAAGGUAGUAAACCACACUCUUAGGAAUCUAAUUUGUUGUCUUUCUAGGAUAGAACCAAAACAAUGGGAUGUUGCUUUUGCACAAGCUGAGUUUGCUUAUAACAAUAUGCUCAACCGGUCCACUGGGAAGACACCAUUUCAGAUUGUUUAUUGUUGUCCACCACGCCAUGCGUUAGACUUAGUUCCUCUUCCAAAACUGUCGGGUUUAGGCAUUGCAGCAGAAAAUAUUGCAGACCGUAUAAAGUCCAUUCAAGAAGAAAUGUGGCAAAACUUUGAGGCUUCUAACGCCAAGUACAAAACUACAACAGAUAAAAAAUAGAGGGUCCAAACCUUUCAAGAAGAGGACCUUGUGAUGGUUUAUUUGCGCAAAGGACGACUACCUGUAGGAGCAUACAACAAGCUAAAAGACAAGAAGUAUGGACCUUUCCAGAUCCUUUAGAAAAUUAAUGACAGCACAUAUAUUGUCAACCUUCCUGCAGAUAUGGCCAUUUCCCCUACUUUCAACAUGGCAGAUUUGUAUGAGUAUCAUCCUCCUGAUAUGGCGUCUUCUCACUUAACUCACUCGGGGUCAAGUUCUUUUUAUGCAGGGGAGACUAAUGUAGAACAGUCUACAGGAGGAGAGGAAGAGCAGAUUGCAGGAUAUAAUAUAAUUACAGGGAAAUCAGGAACUGCAGUUACCAUUGGAGUAUCCUUCCACCAGAUUGCCUACUUUUUUAGGAUUCCUAAUUAAUGUCGUAAUAUCAUGAUUUAUUUACUUUUCUAGCUGUAGUAUUUGCUUUCUUUAGUCUGGUUAUUUCUUUCUUAAACAAUUAUAUUCCUAGUCGAAUUAGGAUUUGCAGCCUAUAUAAAGGCUGCCUCUUUUCAUUGUAAGGCAUUUUUGAAUUCAAUAAAGAACUUUCUCUUAGAGAAUUUUAAUUUCUGAACUCGUGGAUUCGAGUGUAAUUUUUGGUUCGAGGAUUCAAACGAUUUUUCCCGAAAAUAGGCGGCGUCCUAUUUCCACAGAAGCUUCCACUAUAUUAGUUGGUCGAGGAAGUCACCAACAUGUUUGGACUGAUCAUCCACAAUACGGAGCCCCAUGCUCAUUGCAUUUUGAUUUUUUUACAGAGCUUUACCUUAUGAUAUUCUUGUUAUGGCCUAUUUGAGAAACGUUCCUAUAAGAACCUAGAGCUAUAAUUGUGUAUAUAUUCAUCAUUGUUGUAUUACAUCAUGUGUAUAUAUUAAACGUUAUCUACUCACUAAGUUGUUGAAUUCACCCUCUCAUUAUUUAUCUUUUCAGGCUUAUAGUUUGUUAGCAGGUCACUUUUGUUAGACCUUCAAAACAUGCUCUUUUGGUUGUAAUUUGUACAUUUUCUUUUAUGUCUAGUUAGUGCUCUACAAAUAUGAAUUUAUAUGAACUCUUGUAUUAAGACAAUCAUAUUAUAUUAUGAAGUUUAUUUUAUUAUUAGUGUUGCGUUGAACUCUAAUUGAGUUUUGAAUGAUAAGUUUAUAUACAAGUUUAGGUUCGUAUAGGUAUGGAACCUUGGAAGAGAACCUUGUCUAUGUUCUAGUCAUGAAUCCAGGAUUCGGGUCUAGACAAAUAUCAUAGCAUUUUUUUUUUUCAUAGCACAUUUGUAAUAAAUAAAUUAUAAAGCCCCUCCAAUCAGCAACCAUGGCAUGAAGCUGGUGAGAGAAGAAGCUUUUGCUGAGAAAAGCAGGUCAGCAAAUGCUAGGUUGUCCCUUGACUCAGUCCUUGCCGUGACCACCUCAGUUGUACUCUGAAUAAUGUCGUACAGUGGAACUGAUCAUAAUAUCAACGGUCCAAUUUGUUCCACUUUUCAGUUUUAAUAUUCAAGGGAUUGUUAGUUACGCAACAUGUAGAGAUGCUCUUUCGUUAGAAACUGAGGUUGCUAGCUAGGCUUUAGCAUUUGAGGGACAUUAGUACAAGCAAGCAAGUUGUUCUGUCUUGCCCUAGUAUUAUGGCAGGGUAAUUGCCGAGUUUUUUCAGUGACUUGACUGCAUUGACUUUGAAAGCAUACAAGUAAGCGCAAGGAUUUCCACUAAUUGGUAGGGAAACGCGGUGGAUUUUAUGGCUAGACUUUCAUGUUCUGAGUGCCUGGCUCGACUGCUGGAACCCAAAGAAAGAGACUGGAGUGCUGGAACAAUAGACAUCCUUAUAUUGACACUCCCAUACCACACAAGAGCUAAAUCCCUAUCCAUGGCUUCUAUCAUCUUUUUUCUUCUUCUCGCCUUAUCUUUUACAGCUUCAGCUCAAAGACAGACCAAUAUUACCCUCGGAUCUUCUCUAACACCUAUCACAAACUCCUCAUGGUUGUCACCUUCCGGUCUUUAUGCUUUCGGAUUUUUCCGACAACGCGACGGCUAUUCUAUAGGGGUUUUUCUUUCCGGGAUUUCACUACAGACUGUUGUGUGGGCUGCUAGAAGGGAUGAUGCCCCAGUCCCCAGUAAUGCGACCUUGCUCUUCACCAGAAAUGGCAGGGUUGUCUUGACAUCAGCACAAGGGGGUGAGACUUCGAUAGUUUCUGCUUCCCAGCCAGCUUCUUUAGCUUCUAUGUCUGAUUCAGGCAACUUUGUGCUAUAUAAUUCUGAUCGCGAGAUUAUAUGGCAGAGUUUUGACCACCCAACAGAUACCCUUUUGCCAACUCAACAGCUCAGAGCAGGGGCAGAGCUGGUUUCUCCUGUUUCAGAAACUGAACUCUCAACUGGUAUUUACCGACUCAAGAUGCAAAAUGAUGGCAACCUUGUUCAGUAUCCUGUUAGUACUCCAGAUGCACCUCCAUAUGCUUAUUUUGCAUCUGGUACUUAUUGGGCGGGAGCUAAUGUGACCCUAAAUCUUGAUCCGGAUGGCCGUCUCUACCUGCUCAAUGCCACAGGUUUCAACAUAAAAAACCUUACAGCUGGAGGAUAUCACACGAAAGAAACAAUUAAUAUGAUGAAACUUGAUGCUGAUGGGAUUUUCAGAUUAUAUUCACAAAAUCUGAUACGGAAUGGAACCUGGUCAGCUGUGUGGUCAUCCACAAGCAACAUGUGUGACCCGAAAGGAUCAUGCGGUCUUAAUGGAUACUGUGU
rnacentral:lncRNA from 1 species